UCAUCUGAUUGGUGGAGAUUAGAAAUAACAACCAUUUGCGAAAGUAUAUGAGAGGGAUAUUCGAAAUUAUUUACAUAUAUAUGUAAGUACACCUCAUCAAAUAAAUCAAUCCAGCUUCAGACAUAACAAUUUUCAACACUUCAGAAUCAGUAUCUUUAUAUAUAUAUAUAUAUCUUUAUAUAUAUAUUUCGAAUCACCUGAUUGGUGGAAGUUAGAAAUAGCAGCCAUUAUGAAAACACGAGCGGGAUAUUCAAAAUAAUAUACAUUUCAAUGGAUACAUAUCAUAAAGGUAAAGGAAAUUCUUCCUAGCAAGGAUGUCUGAAUCCCGCUAGAGAAGAGAGGAGAAGGAGGAGAGAAAUAGAUGGGAAUGGGAGAAGGUUGGGGGGUGGGGAUGGGUGAAUGCGUGAGUAAGGGGUAGAGGUGUAUAGGGGUAAGGUCGAAACGAAGGAAGGAACUCUGGUGUAAACUCGCGAGAGAGGCGGCGGUAUCUCUCUUCGAGUACGGCGGUGUAUUGAACUCGGUGCUCGAGGUCGUUGAACUCGCGUGCGGGCGGCGUGGCUCUGGUGUGUGGCUUAUGACGUCACGUGACUCGCUGUCUCCGUCGCCGUCUCCGCCGGCGGCUGGGUCGACGAUGACAACAACGACAACAACGACGAGGACGACGAGGACGACGAGAACAACAAUAACAACAACGACGACGACGACAACGACGACGACGACGACGAAAACGAGCGAAGCGGAGGUAGGCGAUGACGUGGCGUUAGCCUAUUGGCUAGCUCGUCGCCCCGCUACCCAAUGACGUCACGCUUGAAAGGCGCGACUCCAGCGCGUGCGCAUCAUUUCGCCGCCACUGCUGCCACUGUCGUGCCUCUGUCAACUGACGACGUCACGAGACCCGCUGCUGCUACGUUCAUACUACAUACAGACAUAUAUUCAACAUACGUAGAUAUAUAUAUAUAUAUACGUACACAUGACUCUCUAACGCGGGAUUUUCUCCGUUUUUAUUAUCUAUUGACAAUCGAUUUUGAGAUAAGAAUCGAUGCUGAGCAGUAAAUAUUUGAUCGAAAGGAAAGAAGAAAGAAGAAAUAAAAAAAGAAAAAAGGAGAAAAAAGGAAGAACUAAACGACGUGCGUGUCCUACGAAAGGCACGCGCUUCUAAACAACUAUAUAUAUAUAUACGUACAUAUAUAUAUAUACAUUCAUAUAUAUAUAUAUAUAUAUAUAUAUAUAUAUAUAUAUAUAUAUAUAUAUAUAUAGUAUGUAUUACAUACACAAUAGAGACGAGGAUCUUCCGUGCGAACGGUCGAGAAUAAAAGCCGUUCUUUACUCCUUCGAUCGUGAAUACUGCACCUGCCACACAACGAUCGCGUCAUACAAGAGAGAGAGAAAAAGAGAGAGAGAGAGAGAGAGAGAGAAAAAGAAGCUAUAAAUAAUGAUCCCAAAUUAUUUUUAGCAGUAGACAUGCCGCCAAGAGAGUAAAAGAAAAAAAAAAAAGGAAAAUCAUCGUUCAGAGAUGAACACGUUGAGUACCGGUAAAUGAUUGUUUUCAAGACGGUGUUAUGUUUGUUGGUAGUCGAGUUAAUUGUCCAAUAAAAAUGGUCGGUGAUUGGUCAGUCAAAAGAUACUCGUUCGUUUAUUCAAGUCUACUCGAUGUUAGCCAAACGCUUGAAAACCUGAUCGUUUGGUUCAGUUCGGCUCGGUUUGGUUCGAUUCGAUUCGGUUCGGUUCGGUUCGGUUCGUUUCGUUCGGUUCGGUUCGGUUCGUUCGCUUACUCAGAGUUUGUUGACUCUCGGUUUCAGCACGCCAGCUGACCAUGACCUCGCCGAACGAUCCGCGAAGUAAUACCGAGGCGAUUCUACCGCCACCGCCACCACCGCCAUCACUACCACCACCCGUUGGGGGACGUCGUCGUCCUCGUUGCCGCUUGUCUCACUAUCUCUUUCUCUCUCUCCUUUCUUUUUCUUUCUCUUUUCUCUCAUCCCACAUAUAUGUACGUAUUUAUUAUAUAUAUAUAUAUAUAUAUAUAUACAUAUAUAUAUGUGUAUAUAACUUUUGCUACCGAUAGCAGUAAUGAUACUGCUACCGUUGCUAAAGAUAAUUCUCAUCCUCUAAUCUAUAUUUACAUGCACAUUUUCUUCCUUGUACGAGUCAAUGAAGUGAUUAUAAAAGUGAUCCAAAUCCAAAAUUAUUUUAUUUUAAAUUAGUUUUUCACACAAUUAAGGUAUAAUAAUAUAUCACUAUGGUAUUAUUAUAUAUUAUGUAAUUAUAUAUAAUUAUGUAUAUUAGAUAUAUUAUAUAGUUGUAAUAAUCUAAGUAUUGUAUAAUCAUUGUAUAACAUUAUUGUAAAUGCAGGGUAUUUUUUUUUUCUUAGAACAAUUUCACAAUCACUGGCUCAUAUAUUUAUAUAUAUAUAUAUAUAUAUAUAUAUAUAUAUAUAUAUAUAGAUACGCAUACGUAUGGGUUAUGUAUAUGGGUGCACACACACACAUAAACAUAUAUAUAUAUACGUGUAUAUGCAGAGUAUGAUGCAGUCGGUUAUACAAUCCUCUUUAACAAUUCGCACGUCCUUUAUUACCACGUGUAUCUCGACGUUUAUCUCAAAGUCUCUCUCGAUUAUUACCACGUGUGAUUAUUACCUCGAAGUUUUCAAGGUGAAAUUUACUUUGAUAAUGAUUUUCGAAUAUCAUUGACAAGAAUAUCUCAUGUAUUUCAUAGGAUAAAUUAUUUAUUGUUUCGUUAUUGAUAAUUAAAUAAUAUUAAUUAAUUAAAAAAAUAUUUACAUAUUUGUUACUACGGUAAAUUAAUUCCAUUUUGAUUAUUAAAUUAUCUAGGAUACAAAAACAUUUUAUUCGAAAAUUUGUAUCAUAGGAAUAUUCGUUUGCUAAUGUAUACAUAUAUGUCCUUGGAUGUACAUAUACGUAUGGACAAUAUAAUUAUUUAUAUAAAUGAGAUAUCGACAAUUAUCGAAAAUUUCAAAAUUUGUACAGAAAUAUCUGUUAUAACAAACUUGAUAGAGGACAUUACGAAAAUUUCAAAUUUUUGUAUACACGAGAUAUAUAUUAUAUUAUCUAAAUAACUUUCUAAAUAUAGAAAUGUAUUUGUUAGAGACUUGGUAUAUAAGGUAAACAUUAUAUACAAGGUUACAAGUCGUCUAAACGUGAUAUAGACAAAAACAUAUUGAAAUUGAAAACUCGUAAAUUUAACGUAUUCGUUGAUAUAGUAUUAGUUAAGAAUUAUACACAUCAAUUUGAAACUGUUUUUAUGUGUAAUAUUAUCUAAAACAAAAAAAAAAAAAAAAGAAAAGGAAAAAAAACA